CUCUUGCAUUCCUUUCCAGCCAUAUAGCAUAUGCAACUUCAGCUGUAACCAUUUUAAAAAUGGCUGCACAACAGGUUCGCCCAUUGGCUUUUCUAAUCAACCAUUGCAUUUUCUGGUUCCAAUCAAUACUAGGUAGGUAUUGUUCCUGCAGCCAGUUCAUUACUCUUCCCCAUAGGUCCACAGUGACCGGGCAGUUCAUGAGCAAAUAAUCUCUUGUUUCAGGUUGUUGUUGAUUGUUUCUUUCUCUUUGUUUGGGUUUCAACUUCCAGGUACAAAUUCCUACUCUUCAGGAUGUAAAUUUGAUUCAAAGAUGGAAUGAAGGGCACUUGUUCAAUUCCUGUUAACCAGUUCAGCUAUUUUAGCAUCGUUUCUGUGUUGUAUACUUAUAUAUUAGACAUUUGAUUCAAAUGAGAUAGAAUAGUCUGAUUAUGUUGUUAUAAUGUAAUCCUGAGAUGGACUGUUGGACUGUUAGAAAUCAUGUUGAGUUUGGAUUUUUAUUGUGUGAUGUUGAUUGUGUGAGUUUAAGUUUAAAGGUCACUCGAGUUCAACCUGGAAACUCAUGACCCAUACUUUGUAUAAUGCAUUUUG
rnacentral:lncRNA from 1 species